ACCACCCGAUCCCAUCCCGAACUCGGAAGUGAAACGCAGCUGCGCCGAUGGUAGUGUGGCUCAAGCCAUGCGAGAGUGGGUCAUCGCCAGGG
rnacentral:rRNA from 1 species